rnacentral:rRNA from 1 species
AUUGAACGCUGGCGGCAUGCCUUACACAUGCAAGUCGAACGGCAGCACGGGUGCUUGCACCUGGUGGCGAGUGGCGAACGGGUGAGUAAUACAUCGGAACGUACCUUAUCGUGGGGGAUAACGCAGCGAAAGCUGUGCUAAUACCGCAUACGCCCUGAGGGGGAAAGCGGGGGAUCGCAAGACCUCGCGCGAUUAGAGCGGCCGAUGCCUGAUUAGCGUGUUGGUGGGGUAAAAGCCCACCAAGGCGAAGAUCAGUAGCUGGUCUGAGAGGACGACCAGCCCGACUGGGACUGAGAAACGGCCCAGACGCCUACGGGAGGCAACAGUGGGGAAUUUUGGACAAUGGGGGCAACCCUGAUCCAGCAAUGCCGCGUGAGUGAAGAAAACCUUCGGGUUGUAAAGCUCUUUUGUCAGGGAAGAAACACCGGCUCUAACACAGUCCGGGAAUGACGGUACCUGAAGAAUAAGCACCGGCUUACUACGUGCCAGCAGCCGCGGUAA